rnacentral:rRNA from 1 species
UACAGAGGGGGCAAGCGUUGUUCGGAAUUACUGGGCGUAAAGGGCGCGUAGGCGGCCUUCUAAGUCGAACGUGAAAUCCCCGGGCUCGACCCGGGAACUGCGUCCGAUACUGGAAGGCUUGAAUCCGGGAGAGGGAUGCGGAAUUCCAGGUGUAGCGGUGAAAUUCGUAGAUAUCGGGAGGAACACCGGUGGCGAAGGCGGCGACCUGGGUAGAUACUGACGCUGAGGUGCGAAAGCGUGGGGAGCAAACAGG